GUGGGGAAUUUUGGACAAUGGGCGCAAGCCUGAUCCAGCAAUGCCGCGUGCAGGAAGAAGGCCUUCGGGUUGUAAACUGCUUUUGUACGGAACGAAACGGUCCGGGUUAAUACCCUGGGCUAAUGACGGUACCGUAAGAAUAAGCACCGGCUAACUACGUGCCAGCAGCCGCGGUAAUACGUAGGGUGCAAGCGUUAAUCGGAAUUACUGGGCGUAAAGCGUGCGCAGGCGGUUUUGUAAGACAGGCGUGGAAUCCCCGGGCUCAAACUGGGAAUUGCGCUUGUGACUGCAAGGCUGGAGUGCGGCAGAGGGGGAUGGAAUUCCGCGUGUAGCAGUGAAAUGCGUAGAUAUGCGGAGGAACACCGAUGGCGAAGGCAAUCCCCUGGGCCUGCACUGACGCUCAUGCACGAAAGCGUGGGGAGCAAACAGGAUUAGAUACCCGAGUAGUCC
rnacentral:rRNA from 1 species